AACGAACGCUGGCGGCAGGCUUAACACAUGCAAGUCGAGCGCCCCGCGAGGGGAGCGGCAGACGGGUGAGUAACGCGUGGGAAUCUACCCAUCUCUACGGAAUAACGCAUGGAAACGUGUGCUAAUACCGUAUACGUCCUUCGGGAGAAAGAUUUAACGGAGAUGGAUGAGCCCGCGUUGGAUUAGCUAGUUGGUGGGGUAAAGGCCUACCAAGGCGACGAUCCAUAGCUGGUCUGAGAGGAUGAUCAGCCACACUGGGACUGAGACACGGCCCAGACUCCUACGGGAGGCAGCAGUGGGGAAUAUUGGACAAUGGGCGCAAGCCUGAUCCAGCCAUGCCGCGUGAGUGAUGAAGGCCCUAGGGUUGUAAAGCUCUUUCACCGGUGAAGAUAAUGACGGUAACCGGAGAAGAAGCCCCGGCUAACUUCGUGCCAGCAGCCGCCGUAAAAC
rnacentral:rRNA from 1 species